rnacentral:rRNA from 1 species
AUUGAACGCUGGCGGCAGGCCUAACACAUGCAAGUCGAGCGGUAGCACAGAGAGCUUGCUCUCGGGUGACGAGCGGCGGACGGGUGAGUAAUGUCUGGGAAACUGCCUGAUGGAGGGGGAUAACUACUGGAAACGGUAGCUAAUACCGCAUAACGUCGCAAGACCAAAGUGGGGGACCUUCGGGCCUCAUGCCAUCAGAUGUGCCCAGAUGGGAUUAGCUAGUAGGUGGGGUAACGGCUCACCUAGGCGACGAUCCCUAGCUGGUCUGAGAGGAUGACCAGCAACACUGGAACUGAGACACGGUCCAGACUCAGACGGGAGGCAGCAGUGGGGAAUAUUGCACAAUGGGCGAAAGCCUGAUGCAGCCAUGCCGCGUGUGGGAAGAAGGCCUUCGGGUUGUAAAGCACUUUCAGCGGGGAGGAAGGCGAUAAGGUUAAUAACCUUGUCGAUUGACGUUACACGCAGAAGAAGCACCGGCUAACUCCGUGCCAGCCGCCGCGGUAAUAC